AGUGAACGCUGGCGGUAGGCCUAACACAUGCAAGUCGAACGGCAGCACAGUAAGAGCUUGCUCUUACGGGUGGCGAGUGGCGGACGGGUGAGGAAUACAUCGGAAUCUACUUUUUCGUGGGGGAUAACGUAGGGAAACUUACGCUAAUACCGCAUACGACCUACGGGUGAAAGCAGGGGAUCUUCGGACCUUGCGCGAUUGAAUGAGCCGAUGUCGGAUUAGCUAGUUGGCGGGGUAAAGGCCCACCAAGGCGACGAUCCGUAGCUGGUCUGAGAGGAUGAUCAGCCACACUGGAACUGAGACACGGUCCAGACUCCUACGGGAGGCAGCAGUGGGGAAUAUUGGACAAUGGGCGCAAGCCUGAUCCAGCCAUACCGCGUGGGUGAAGAAGGCCUUCGGGUUGUAAAGCCCUUUUGUUGGGAAAGAAAAGCAGCAGGUUAAUACCCCGCUGUUCUGACGGUACCCAAAGAAUAAACACCGGCUAAUUUCGU
rnacentral:rRNA from 1 species